CUAUUUAGUCCCAUUCGGAGGCAAAAGAGAACUCACUGCAUAAUAGAGUUUCAAGUUCAGAAGGAACUAUAACUAAUGUACUGUCUCUGACCUAUAAUAGGUGCUCAAAAAAUGUAUGUUGAAUUAAUUCAACAAAAUUCCUCUACUUCACCUCAUCAGGUGGUUAUCUAGUGUCUCCUUUACCUCUCCAAUGGGAGCAAAUCUAUAAUUUCCCAAAGCAGAAAGACCUGGGCAGUUCGAACUGUCAGAAAGUUUUUAUCUGGGCCAGGUGCGGUGGCUCACGUCUAUAAUAUCAGCACUGUGGGCAGGAGAAUUGCUUGAACCCAGGAGGCGG
rnacentral:lncRNA from 1 species